UUACGGCAGAGUGGCCCUGCAGUCCUUGUUCUGCAGAGAAGGCUGGAGACUCAUCUUCAGAUGGCACAAAUGAAGCUAAGGGAUUCUGCUAGUCAUGACCUGUCAUUGCAAAGAGGCAUUCUUAAACAGAUAAAAAGAAUGAUAAUCAAAAAGGAUUUAUAACAACAUACAAAAAAAGCCCUCAGGAAGGGCUUUGUUUUCAUAACCUUUACACCGUUGUGUUAAUUUGCAGAAUUCUUUUCUCCUUUU